ACCUUAUAGUAAUACGACUUGGCAUCAAGAUGUAUUUAAAGAUUUAUCGGUGAAAGAUGAGCAUGCGUCCCAUUAGCUAGUUGGUAAGGUAACGGCUUACCAAGGCAACGAUGGGUAGGGGUCCUGAGAGGGAGAUCCCCCACACUGGUACUGAGACACGGACCAGACUCCUACGGGAGGCAGCAGUGAGGAAUAUUGGACAAUGGGCGCAAGCCUGAUCCAGCCAUGCCGCGUGCAGGAUGACGGUCCUAUGGAUUGUAAACUGCUUUUAUACAGGAAGAAACAGUUCUACGUGUAGAACCUUGACGGUACUGUAAGAAUAAGGAUCGGCUAACUCCGUGCCAUCAGCCGCGGUAAUACGGAGGAUCCAAGCGUUAUCCGGAAUCAUUGGGUUUAAAGGGUCCGUAGGCGGUCAGAUAAGUCAGUGGUGAAAGCCCAUCGCUCAACGGUGGAACGGCCAUUGAUACUGUCUGACUUGAGUUAUUAGGAAGUAACUAGAAUAUGUAGUGUAGCGGUGAAAUGCUUAGAGAUUACAUGGAAUACCAAUUGCGAAGGCAGGUUACUACUAAUUGAUUGACGCUGAUGGACGAAAGCGUGGGUAGCGAACAGGAUUAGAUACCCUGGUAGUCCACGCCGUAAACGAUGGAUACUAGCUGUUGGGAGCAAUC
rnacentral:rRNA from 1 species